rnacentral:rRNA from 1 species
AUUGAACGCUGGCGGCAGGCCUAACAAAUGCGAGUCGAGCGCACGGCGGACGGGUGAGUAAGGUAUGGGGAAAUGAUCGAUAGAGGGGGAUAACUACUGGAAAAGUUGGCUAAUAAAGCUUACUCGUGGAUGAACCGAUAUGGGAUUAGCUAGUAGGUGGGGUAACGGCUCACCUAGGCGACGAUCUCUAGCUGGUAUGAGAGGAUGAGCAGCCACACUGGGACGGAGACACGGCCCAGACUCCUACGUGAGGCAGCAGUGGGGAAUAUUGCACAAUGGGCGCAAGCCUGAUGCAGCCAUGCCGCGUGUAUGAAGAAGGCCUUAGGGUUGUAAAGUACUUUCAGCGGGGAGGCGUUACCCGCAGAAGAAGCACCGGCUAACUCCGUGCCAGCAGCCGCGGUAAUAC